rnacentral:tRNA from 1 species
UGUGGCGUAGCCAAGUUGGUAAGGCACCGGAUUGUUACUCCGACCAUGCGAAGGUUCGAAUCCUUCCGCCCCAGCCA